ACGGCUCAGUAACACGUGGACAACCUACCCUGUGGAGGGGGAUAACCCCGGAAAACUGGGGAUAAUACCCCAUAGGUUAGGGAGGCUGGAAUGCCCCCUAGCUCAAAGGUCCGCCGCCACAGGAUGGGUCUGCGGCCGAUUAGGUUGUUGUUGGGGUAACGGCCCAACAAGCCUUUGAUCGGUACGGGUUGUGGGAGCAAGAGCCCGGAGAUGGAUUCUGAGACACGAAUCCAGGCCCUACGGGGCGCAGCAGGCGCGAAAACUUUACAAUGCGAGAAAUCGUGAUAAGGGAACCCCGAGUGCCCGUAAAUUCGGGCUGUCCGCCAGUGCAAAAAACUGGUGAAGAAAGAGCCGGGCAAGACCGGUGCCAGCCGCCGCGGUAAUACCGGCGGCUCGAGUGGUGGCCACUAUUACUGGGCUUAAAGCGUCCGUAGCUUGGUUGUUAAGUCUCCUGGGAAAUCCAUCGGCUCAACCGAUGGGCGUUCAGGAGAUACUGGCAACCUAGGGACCGGGAGAGGUGAGAGGUACUCCAGGGGUAGGAGUGAAAUCCUGUAAUCCUUGGGGGACCACCUGUGGCGAAGGCGUCUCACUAGAACGGCUCCGACAGUGAGGGACGAAAGCUGGGGGAGCAAACCGGAUUAGAUACCCGGGUAGUCCCAGCUGUAAACGAUGCGCGUUAGGUGUAUCGGUGACCACGAGUCACCGAGGUGCCGAAGAGAAAUCGUGAAACGUGCCGCCUGGGAAGUACGGUCGCAAGGCUGAAACUUAAAGGAAUUGGCGGGGGAGCAC
rnacentral:rRNA from 1 species